rnacentral:rRNA from 1 species
CCUGGCUCAGAUUGAACGCUGGCGGAAUGCUUACACAUGCAAGUCGAACGGCAGCACGGGAGCUUGCUCCUGGUGGCGAGUGGCGAACGGGUGAGUAAUGCGUCGGAACGUGCCGAGUAAUGGGGGAUAACGCAGCGAAAGUUGUGCUAAUACCGCAUACGCCCUGACGGGGGAAAUGGGGGAUCGCAAGACCUCACGUUAUUCGAGCGGCCGACGUCUGAUUAGCUAGUUGGUGGGGUAAAGGCCUACCAAGGCGACGAUCAGUAGCGGGGUCUGAGAGGAUGAUCCGCCACACUGGGACUGAGACACGGCCCAGACUCCUACGGGAGGCAGCAGUGGGGAAUUUUGGACAAUGGGGGGCAACCCUGAUCCAGCCAUUCCGCGUGAGUGAAGAAGGCCUUCGGGUUGUAAAGCUCUUUCAGCUGGAGUGAAACGGUGCGCUCUAACAUAGCGCGCUAAUGACGGUACCAGCAGAAGAAGCACCGGCUAACUACGUG